rnacentral:rRNA from 1 species
UACGUAGGGUGCAAGCGUUAAUCGGAAUUACUGGGCGUAAAGCGUGCGCAGGCGGUGAUGUAAGUCAGGUGUGAAAUCCCCGGGCUUAACCUGGGAACUGCAUUUGUGACUGCAUCGCUGGAGUGCGGCAGAGGGGGAUGGAAUUCCGCGUGUAGCAGUGAAAUGCGUAGAUAUGCGGAGGAACACCGAUGGCGAAGGCAAUCCCCUGGGCCUGCACUGACGCUCAUGCACGAAAGCGUGGGGAGCAAACAGG